rnacentral:rRNA from 1 species
UGGGGAAUAUUGCACAAUGGAGGGAACUCUGAUGCAGCGACGCCGCGUGAACGAAGAAGGCUUUCGAGUCGUAAAGUUCUUUUAUAUGGGAAGAUAAUGACGGUACCAUAAGAAAAAGCCCCGGCUAACUACGUGCCAGCAGCCGCGGUAAUACGUAGGGGGCUAGCGUUGUCCGGAAUCACUGGGCGUAAAGGGUUCGCAGGCGGAAAUGCAAGUCAGGUGUAAAAGGCAGUAGCUUAACUACUGUAAGCAUUUGAAACUGCAUAUCUUGAGAAGAGUAGGGGUAAGUGGAAUUUUUAGUGUAGCGGUGAAAUGCGUAGAUAUUAAAAAGAAUACCGGUGGCGAAGGCGACUUACUGGGCUCAUUCUGACGCUGAGGAACGAAAGCGUGGGUAACAAACAGG